rnacentral:rRNA from 1 species
AGUAAGAGUUAAGUUCUUGAAACUCAAAGAAUUUGGCGGUGUUUUAGUCUUUUCAGAGGAAUCUGUCCUAUAAUGGAUAAUACACAUUAAAUUUAACUUGAUUUUGUAAUAGCCAGUUUGUAUACCGCCGUCAUAAGAUUAUCUUUUUAGAGAAAGAAUUUUCUGGAUUUCUGGAAGAAAAAAUUCAUGAAUAAUGAAUGGAGGAUUGUAUGUCAGGUCAAGGUGCAGCUCAUAAUUAAGUAAGAGAUGGAUUACAAUAAAUUAAUUUAUAUGGAUAGUAUGUUGAAAUACGUAUUUGAAGGUGGAUUUGAAAGUAAUAUGGUUAUAUUAUGAUAAUAUGAUUAUAGCCCUAAAACAUGU